UACAUGGGGUGCAAACGUUGCUCGGAAUUAUUGGGCGUAAAGCGCGCGUAGGCGGUUAUCUAAGUCGGAUGUGAAAGCCCUCGGCUUAACUGAGGAAGUGCACCCGAAACUGGGUAGCUAGAGUACUAAAGAGGGUCGCGGAAUUCCCGGUGUAGAGGUGAAAUUCGUAGAUAUCAGGAAGAACACCCGUGGCUAAGGCGGCUCUCUAGUACGGUACUGACGCUGAGACGCGAAAGCGUGGGGAGCGAACAGG
rnacentral:rRNA from 1 species